CUAAACAAGAAUGUGUCCUCAGUACACGAAUGCCCCACUCGCACUAUCAUUUUCCAUGUUCAGUGGACCGUGAAAUUGGGGUAAAAACUCUAAUUUGGCAUUAAAAUUAGAAAGAUCAUAUCAUAGGGAACACGUGUACUAAGUUUGAAGUCGAUUGGACUUCAACUUCAUCAAAAACUACCUUGACCAAAAACUUUAACCUGGAGCGGGACAGACGGACGAACGGACGGACGAACGGACGCACAGACCAGAAAACAUAAUGCCCCU
rnacentral:lncRNA from 1 species